GAUGAACGCUGGCGGCGUGCCUAAUACAUGCAAGUCGAGCGAACAGACGAGGAGCUUGCUCCUCUGACGUUAGCGGCGGACGGGUGGGUAACACGUGGAUAACCUACCUAUAAGACUGGGAUAACUUCGGGAAACCGGAGCUAAUACCGGAUAAUAUAUUGAACCGCAUGGUUCAAUAGUGAAAGACGGUUUUGCUGUCACUUAUAGAUGGAUCCGCGCCGCAUUAGCUAGUUGGUAAGGUAACGGCUUACCAAGGCAACGAUGCGUAGCCGACCUGAGAGGGUGAUCGGCCACACUGGAACUGAGACACGGUCCAGACUCCUACGGGAGGCAGCAGUAGGGAAUCUUCCGCAAUGGGCGAAAGCCUGACGGAGCAACGCCGCGUGAGUGAUGAAGGUCUUCGGAUCGUAAAACUCUGUUAUUAGGGAAGAACAAAUGUGUAAGUAACUAUGCACGUCUUGACGGUACCUAAUCAGAAAGCCACGGCUAACUACGU
rnacentral:rRNA from 1 species